AAACAUAGACACUCCCUGGGGAAGAUGGGUGGGUAAUAAGGUAGUAAGUCUGAUUGGCUGUCUCACAUUGUAGUCACUCCUUUCUAUUUUCUUUCCAAAAGGCAGUAUAGACUACAUUUCUAUAGAUCUGGAAGAAGCUGAUACAAGAGAAACCCUUUUAGGAGCAGGCAGAUUCAGCAACUCUUUCUGAAGAGGAAGAAAAGGGAGAUGCUACUGUUAGCACCAGUGUUGACCUUAUGGAUACAAAUAUCACAAAUGAAUGGACAACAGAUAAAGCAUUUUCCUGAAUUCUUGCUUCUGCAAGAAGGAGAGAACUUUAACACAUACUGCAAUUCCUCAAGCACCUUUUACAGUUUACAGUGGUAUAAGCAGAGGCCUGGGGGCAGUCCUGUCCUCUUGAUGAUAUUAGCUAAACGUGGAGAAGUGAAGACACAGUGGAGAUGGACAGGUCGGCUUGGAGAGUCCAAACAGCACAGCUCCCUACACCUCACGGCUGCCCAGCUCUCAGAUGCAGGAACCUACUUCUGUGCAGAGGCACAGUGCUCUGGAAGCACCUGCUGCCUGUCCCCAAACCUCACUGUGGGCUCCAGCGGUCGCUCCUCCUCAUCUCUUCUCAGAGCAGGGGCCAGAGAUAGCUGAAUUUAUGAU